rnacentral:misc_RNA from 1 species
GAUGAAGAACGCAGCGAAAUGCGAUAAGUAAUGUGAAUUGCAGAAUUCAGUGAAUCAUCGAAUCUUUGAACGCACAUUGCGCCCGCCAGUAUUCUGGCGGGCAUGCCUGUUCGAGCGUCAUUUCAACCAUCAAGCCCCAGGCUUGUGUUGGGGACCUGCGGCUGCCGCAGGCCCUGAAAACCAGUGGCGGGCUCGCUGUCACACCGGGCGUAGUAGAUUUUAUCUCGCUCAGGGCGUGCUGCGGGUUCCGGCCGUUAAAAAGCCUUUUUUACCCAAGGUUGACCUCGGAUCAGGUAGGAAGACCCGCUGAACUUAAGCAUAUCAAUAAGCGGAAGGA